GCAGCAUGAACUAACAUGUUAUCUACCCAAUCAAAGGAUCAGAGAAUGAAUCUAGUACUGAAAGCAUAAGCUACAGCUAGCUAGCACUGCAGUACAUAAAAUGUGCUAGCAAAUGCAGCUGGCUAGUUUAGCCUACUGAAACACCCUGCUCAAACAGAUGGAUGCUAUGUCAGCUAGCUGGCUAUGACUUUCCAACACAACACUGGAACUCUUCCAAGUCAAGGGGUUUGGUGGAAGAGGAGGAUGUGCUACCUGUGAGAGGAACCGAUCCAGACCAGGCCAAACAACCGGCUUUCGGCGAUGGAUAUCCCCCAUACAGAUUUGACGUGACGCCAAAACACAACAGACCCAAAUCAUCCAUUAGAGAUCCCAUGAAGCUAACCGCCACACAACCAUUUGAACAGAUGUAAACGUAUCGUAACAGAUGAACAACUUCUGGAGGGCGAGCCAGGCCAUUGAUAACAGGUCACUGGCAGGUGACCCCUGUCCUUUAGAAAGAUGGAAUUCUCUAACAUUGGGGGAGUUUCUUCAGUGUCUGUGAAGAGACUCUGAAAUGUCCCUAAGUGGUCUCUAUCUGUUGUGUCUACAGUGUCUGGAGGUCAUGGCAGGUCACCUUUCAUUUGCUUAACAGUUGUGGGUUUUACACAGAACUGGCAGUCAAGUCAGUCACACCGUUCAUGUAUACUUGGGAACUGGUAUAUUAGCUUUGCAAAUGGUUGGUGAAGUUGACAUUCUGCAGCUCCUAUAUACCUGGUCGACUACAGCAGGGAGCUUGUGUGCAGUCCCUGACUUAUUUGCUCAUUCUCUGCCCAUGACCUGGACGAACUUAGUCAAGUUUAAACCAAAACAAUAAAAAUAAAU
rnacentral:lncRNA from 1 species